UUUGGGGUGCAGACUCGGGGCGUUACAGAUCACCUAAGCAGAAGAUCAUUAAGUCAUUCACGAAUAUUAAGUGGGAUAAUUUGAGUGCCUUACACAUUGGGUGAAAGGUGAAGUCUGGGUGCUCGCUAAAUUUGUUCAAAGUUUUUGUCAAAUACUCCAUAAUCAAUACAAAGAUCAAAGGAGAAAUAUGAUCCUCUUGGCUCAAAUCCUCUUCCCCUCAAAGUAUCCACAUUCUUCUCCAUAUACUUAAAUGGAAAACUUAGUGGUUAAAACAACACAUUAGCAUUUUUAUGAAUGGUAUUGGAAACCUAUACCUUCUCAAAGCUUCCUCCACAAAUUUCCAAUUUACCAUGUCAUAUGCUUUUCUUAAAUCUAUCUUGAUGAGACAUCUAGGAAAUGUCUUUAUCUUUUAGUGUCUUAUAAGUCAUGACAUAUGAGGACACUGUCUAUCAAAGACCUUUCCUCCACAAAUACAGCCCGAUUCUCAGCAACCAACAGCAACAAUGUUUUCCUCAAUUUGACACAUAAGAUUUUAGAAAUGCAUUUGUAUAAUACAUUACAACAGAAAAAAGGUCUGAACUAACUUGCUUGUUGAGGGCACUCCACCUUAGGAAUAAGAUAGAUCAUGGUAGCAUUAAUCUGCUUAAGCAAUCUCCCAUUCUCCAAGUAUUCAAGUGAUGUAACAUCAUCACCUACAACUUCUCAAGCCUUUUUUGAAAAAAUCAUUACUAUAACCAUUAGGACCUGCACUUUUAUUUUCAUCUAUGCUAAACAUAGUCUGUUUAACAUCCUUACUUGUAUAAGGUUUCACCACUUCUAUCUGAUCUGCCACAGAUAGAAUAUACCCAUUCUUAAUAUAUUUCUUCUUGACACUGCUAUUGUUUACCUCUCUUUUUUCAGUAAGUCUUGAUGGAAUUCAACUAAUAAAAUCUUUACAAUCUCAUCUGAAUUAUGCUGCACCACAUUUUUCCUGUCUUGCAAUUGAGUGAUAGCAUACUGCAGCCUCUUAUGCUUUACCAGUACAUAAAAAUAUUGAGUAUUAUUAUCACCUAGUGUAUCCAAUCAACUUUACUCCUCUAUUGCAGCCACAAUUCAGCUAAAUAUGAUGAUCUUCUAUACUUUAAGUAGAUCUCUCUUUUUAUUUCCUGCAAAUCCUGAUCACCAAGCUGCAUAUGUAAAUCCUGUUGCACUUGCUUCAAGUCCCUCCUAUCCCCCUCUUCUUGUUCCACUACAUCCCAGAAAUAUUGCUUAUGCAUAGUCUUCAGCUUAUCCUUUAAUAUUUUUAACUUUUUAACCACUUGCCACAUAGUGUGACCCUGUACAGGUCUACUCCAAAUAUCCCUCACCCUAUCCAUGAAACUAGAAUGUGUGGCCCAGACAUUACAAUAGCUAGAUGAUUUCCUUUUAUAGCUUCUACCUUCCAGUAAUUCCACCUUGACUGGGCAAUGAUCACUAGCAUAGUAACUGGGAGUAGUCUGAAAUUUCUAACUACUGUAGUCAGAAACGUUUUUCCGUCAAGCUAUAUUUCGACUACGAUGAACAGUCGAAAAAUAGUCGAAAUUACCUUGUUUUCCGACCAUAUUCCGACUACAUCAGCUGUCGGAAAAAUGAUCUUUUCUAGUAGUGUAUGAACCCAUGCAUUCAGCCUUACCUCAUUUAGUAUACCAGUACAUUCCACGUACUUGUCACAUACUUUUUUCCUGCGCUAUGAUGUCUCACAUCAUAGGUUUGGACGCUCAGGUUCUUGACCGCGCUUAGCCAGAUUCAGUCAGCAGCAGCAGAUUCAGUAGUGAGUACUCACCAUCGAGGAUGUUCUUUUAUUUCAGUAUUACAGUAGGUUCAAUAUCUUAUUAGUUAGAGUUAGUUGGGGGCUUGUCCCAUCAAUUUCCCAUUCAGACAGUUCAGUUAGAGGCUUUUCAGACUAGACUAGUUUAGAUAGUAUUCAGUUUUCAGAUGUUGUUUUCAGUAUUUCCAUCAGUAUUCAGUAUUUGAUUUCAGAUUGUGUGAACCUUAUGGCAUUUUCAACCAACUUCCGCAUUUUAGAUUAGUAUUAUUUCUCUGUGCUCACAGCAGGUACCAUUCAUGGGUUAGCUUGUGGUCCUUCAGGGUCGUAAGCACCGUGUGGCGUUUGGGGUGCAGACUCGGGGCGUUACAGAUCACCUAAGCAGAAGAUCAUUAAGUCAUUCACGAAUAUUAAGUGGGAUAAUUUGAGUGCCUUACACAUUGGGUGAAAGGUGAAGUCUGGGUGCUCGCUAAAUUUGUUCAAAGUUUUUGUCAAAUACUCCAUAAUCAAUACAAAGAUCAAAGGAGAAAUAUGAUCCUCUUGGCUCAAAUCCUCUUCCCCUCAAAGUAUCCACAUUCUUCUCCAUAUACUUAAAUGGAAAACUUAGUGGUUAAAACAACACAUUAGCAUUUUUAUGAAUGGUAUUGGAAACCUAUAC
rnacentral:lncRNA from 1 species